rnacentral:rRNA from 1 species
GGCCAACCCACAAGGGAGGCAGCCUCCAAGGUAUAACUCAUGAUUGGGGUG